rnacentral:misc_RNA from 1 species
GAAAUGCGAUAAGUAAUGUGAAUUGCAGAAUUCAGUGAAUCAUCGAAUCUUUGAACGCACAUUGCGCCCCCUGGUAUUCCGGGGGGCAUGCCUGUUCGAGCGUCAUUUCACCACUCAAGCCUCGCUUGGUAUUGGGCAACGCGGUCCGCCGCGUGCCUCAAAUCGACCGGCUGGGUCUUCUGUCCCCUAAGCGUUGUGGGAACUAUUCGCUAAAGGGUGUUCGGGAGGCUACGCCGUAAAACAACCCCAUUUCUAAGGUUGACCUCGGAUCAGGUAGGGAUACCCGCUGAACUUAAGC